UGGGCAACCUGCCCCAGACUCAGGGAUAACCCCGGGAAACCGGGGCUAAUACCCGAUACUCCGGUCGAACCACAUGGCUCGAUCGGGAAAGCUCCGACGGUCUGGGAUGGGCCCGCGGCCUAUCAGCUUGUUGGUGGGGUAACGGCCCACCAAGGCGACGACGGGUAGCCGGCCUGAGAGGGUGACCGGCCACACUGGGACUGAGACACGGCCCAGACUCCUACGGGAG
rnacentral:rRNA from 1 species